GACACCAUGGCCUUGAUUCCUGCGCUCAGUGCGUGAAGCUGCAAGGACAGGGGAUCAGGGUGAGGAAGGGAUCCCUCCAGGAACAACCAUGCUUCCCACUCAUUGAGCACCUGCUGUAUGCCCAUGACAACCUGUGAGGUGAGGACGCUGAGGGACAAAGAAGUGGUGCGGCCCAGCUGUGUGUCCCCCAGGUCUGUCUGGCAUCUGACCCCCUGUCCAUUUCGCAUUGCACUCCUGGAUCCUUGAGCCCACGGCACAAAGUGUCACCGGAUUCUUACACUGGAAGUUCUCCCACUCUUUCCAUUUCUCAGGUGAGAAAACAGAGGCCCAGAGCGAGCAAAGGACUUGCCCAAGGUCCCUUAGCAGAGGUGGGACAAGAAGCCCACCCCUCAGCACCAUGAGUGCAGUCAUGACUGUACCCUCUCUUCCCACACUGGCACCAUACGCUCAGCUCCAUGCUGCCACAUCCUGGCCACUGCGAGCAUAUGCAUUCUAAAAAAUUAUUUGCUGUUUACCUAAAAUUCAAAUUUAACCGGCAGUCCUAUAUUUCCUUUCGCUGGCAGCCGUGCCUGUGUUUACACAGGCACGCAUAUGCAUGGGGACACAUCACACACGGUAAAAAACAGAGAGUACAGGGGCGCCUGGUGGGCUCAGUCAGAGAAGCAUGCGGAACUUGAUCUCAGGGUUGUGAGUUCAAUCCCCACGUUGGGUGUGAAGAUUACUUAAAUAUUUAAACAACAACAGAGAGCACAGUGAGCUAUUUAGUCCCAUGGAGCCGAGGGAGCCUUAGCUGGACACAGCCACAUACCACAGAACCGAUCCGGACUUGGCCAUACCGCACGGGGAUGCUGACGGUCACAGCCAGACAGAACCCACACCAUCCACUGUCCACUGUGACAGCUGGGCUUUCUCAGACAUGAUCACUCACACCCUGACAGAACUCAGGAGCCAUGAUCGCCCACCUUUUGGCAACCAGCUGACAACCCAGACACACUCAGCCAGUCAGAGCCGAGCUGGACUCGGACAGACAGAUCUGAGUCAGAUCUGAUGGUACAGGGCCAAAGACCACACAGAAACCCAGACACUGACAGACACAGGUCGGGCUAGGUCGACCAGGGUUAGAGGGAGCCCAAUGGAGACGUUGCAGACAGCCCCAGACGGGCCGGGUCUGGGCAGAAGUUGCGCGUGUGUUGCGGGGGUAACGUGUAUUCCCGGCACACCACUCUGGCAGGGGGUGGCAUCCGGGGGCAGGCACUGUGGGAUGGAGAGUAGCCCUGUCUGUCAUGGUCAGCUGUGGGUGCCCCUUGCCUGGGCCGGAUGCGCGACUGGCGGCGGAUGACGGAGUAGCGGACGGCGAUGACACAGGCCUUCUGCAGCAGGGGUAUGAUCUCGCCCAGCAGCAGAUCCACCCGCAUCACCACCAUGGAAAAGUAGUUGGUCUGCGGUGAUCCGAGCUUGAAGUAGGUGCCAUCUGGCAAGACCUGGUGGACCGAAGACAGGCGCCGGGUCUGAGCCUAGGCUCCCCAGCCUGUCCUACACCAUAACUGUGGGCUUGCCUCGCCUUCAGGCACACAGGCCUCAGACCGCUCACCUGGAGCAGGUGGCUGAUGGACCGCCGGAGCGCGCCGGUUGUUACCCGCACCCGUGCUUUCUGCUGGCCAGCCAUUGCCUCAGGUGCCUGGGUUCACAGCGCCUCUCUUGGGACACCCAGGACCUCCCCCAAAUCCAUAGCUAAAGGGAAUGCCUGGCAAGACGGGGACUCCAGAACUUCCUCAAGCACUCAGGUGGUGUCUGGUCAGUGACUAGUUGUCCAGGCCUCACUGUAGCUAAAUAGGCAUGUUACCCUCAGCCCUUCCCUCUUCUCACGUCGCCUUGCCACUGACCCUGUGACUGCUCUGCCACCCCAUGAAGCUCUGAGCAUUUACCCAUGAGAACUCUGAGGCUCAGAGAGGUUAAGUGACUCGCCCAAGAUCACACAGCUCCUUAACUGGGGCUUUACCCAGAUCUGUGGGGUACCAGAGCCUCUCUGGGGUGGGGGUGGGGUACCCCAAACUCUGCUCUUUAGAGGAAGACCCAGAGCCAGCAGCAAUCUGCAGGAGGACUGCUACCCCCUUUCUAGGCAGUGCGGGCUUGCCCCCCCCCCCAGGACUCCCACCUGUGCAAAGCGACUCAACAUGUUCUCUCUAGGGACCCGCACGUGGUCCAGUCGCAGGAAGCCAUUGUCUAUGGAGUCAAAGCCCAUCUUGGGCCCAAUGUCUCCAACGGUGACUCCUAGAAGGAGAUGGAGAUGGGAACGUCUGUCAGCCGUGUGCUUGCAGUGUGCCAGGUACCCCCUGCCCCCCAACCCACGUUCCAGCUCCCCUGAGCCUCACAGCAGCCUGUCACAUGGGUUAUUACACCUGUUUUGCAGGUGACCGAGCCAAGGUCAGACAGGUGCUGAAUCUUGCCCAAGUUCACCCAGCUAGUUAGCACCAGGUCUAUUCAACUGGACUCCUCCCUGCCCAAGGGAGACAUGUCCCAGCUUCUCCCAUGACCUCUGGGGCCUCAGGAUGGGGAGGCCUGGUGCAGUCUCUUCUUGGCAGUGGUCCUGGGAGCCACCGGGGCUUACCUGGCAGUGGGCUGUGGUCCUCAAGGCUCCGGAUAGGCACGAUGAAGGCGUGCAUGCCCCGCCGGGCUCCUGAGCAGAUCAGCUGGGCCUGGACCAAAGUGUGGGUGGCUGACCGUCCCACUGAAGUUGGAGAAAGGAGAGGCGCCACAUGAUCUCUGGUGUAGGAGGCCCUGGGGUAUGGAGCAGGCAAGCUAACUCUCCCUACCAGGAAUCUGGAUAUGGGUUAAAUCUGUAAUGGGUUAGGAGGACCAGUGUGGUGGCAUGGGGAAGGGCAGGCACCCCAUGAAGCCAGAAUGGGGUUUGUUUGAUCUGCCUCAAAUGGUAAGGGUCAGGGGAGGAUGCGCAAGGGGCCUGAAGGGUAGCGGGUAUUUCCAGGGGGUUUACACAGGGCAGGGAGAGCCAGGCAGAGGAGGGGGUAGCAUCCAGGGCAACAAAGUGAUGCUUUUUCAGGAUACCCCUUGACUCACAUGGCCUUGACUCAUCCUUGGAAAUGACUGCAACAGUAUUGAAAGCUUUCAUAUGAGUGUCUGGCUCUGGAAUGCACUGGGUUGGAGGGCUUUAUGGACAGCAAUUUGGUGGCUGGAGGUGCAGGGGGUUCUGUCUAAAGGUUACAUGUGUGGAGCGACCACCCUACAAUACACAGGCAUGGGGUAGGGAGGCUCAAGGAGGCUGCUGGUGAUCUUGAGGGGUGCAAAGCCCUCUACACCCUCUAGGUGCUUCCCCUUCCAAAGGCAAAGCUGACAAAGGUUAUGGAUUUUAAUGAAAAUAGCCUAAAUGGAACAACCUGGAAAAGCUUGGCAUCUUUAAAAAUUUGGUUCUUCUGCAGUCUUCUGGCUGCAGUGUGUGCCCUUGAGUCAUUUUUCUUUGGAAUCUUUACGUCAGAGCUGCUGGGGUAUGUAUGUUAGGAUCCAUGGUAAGAAAACUGAUCCCUGAUCACAGGGAAAGGUGUGCAUCACUGCCCCCCCAUCCCAGGAGCCUCGAAGAGUCACUGAUCCCAGAGAGGGGGAACUGCUCCCAAAGAACCAAACAAAUCUAACAGUGUUUUGCAAAAAGCACUGUGAAAUGAGCACGUUGUUUUCUCUUUUUUUCUGUCCUCAAAAACCUAUAAAUGAAUCCCUCUGUCAUCCACCUAAUAAUAGUGAAUACAGAUCAUUACCAUUUAUCUGCUGGCUCCCGUGCUGGUGCUUUCCAGUUCUUGCAGGGUGGGUAUGAUAAGCCCCAUUGUCCAGAUAAGGAAACUGAGGAUCAGAGAGGCGAGUGAGGCCCUCAAGGUCACCGGCCUGGAGGGGGCGGAGCUGGGAUUUCAAGCCCACCUGAUUGCCAAGGCUGGUUUCUUUUUUCUGCCCUUCUGAAGGCAGUCAUCCGUUCCCUCCCUCUCCUCUCUGGUUGCUCUCUCCUCCACCCCUUAUUUCUCUGACUUCCCUCUGUCUCAGUCUUUCUCCCUCUCUGCUUAUCCCUAGCCUGUUUCUUUCUGCUUAGUUGUACUCUUGGCAUUCAUUGUUUUUUCUCCCCCUUGGAAGCAUUCACCAAAUGGGUCCUGAAGUGCCACAGACGUGCCCUCACAGGUGUAUUCACAUCCCGGGAAGAGGGCCUUGGCGGGAGCCCCCUCUUGGGCAAUCCCAGAGCCCCGGGGAAGCAGGAUGCUGUUGCCACCUGGUGGCCACAGGGGGCAGGGUGGCGCCGGUGGCCGGACUGUGGCUGAGCCUUUCUGGGUGUCUGAAGCAGGGGCGGUGAUCUGUGAACUGGGUGAUGGGUUGGCGAGCUUAAUCACUAACUUGGGAGGCGAGAGUGCCUGGGACUAGGCUGUGUGUAUGUGAUGUGUGUGUGCACGUGCGUGUGAGAGAGGUCUUGGCCCUCAUCCCCCACAGGCUGGGUGGGUUUCCUCAGUUACUUCAAAGUUGGGGCCUCUCAGCCACUCAUGGAUGAAAUUCUUCCCAUCCCCCCUGUUGACAGAGUGAGACCCUGAAGUUCGAGAUCAUGAAUGGAUUCGCUCAAGGUCACCAGCCUAGAACAGGGAAUCCGUCUGAGGUCUGGCGGACCUCAGAGCCGGCGCUACCCCACUGACUGACUUUUUCUCCUUGGGGACAGAUAGGGCUGGGGAAAUGGAUGGAUACUCACUGUCCCCAGGCCACCAUUUGGUGGCUGUCAACGUGGGGCUGUGCACCACAAACUCCUGGGUGGCCGUAUCAUAGGUGGCUUCGGUCUCCAGGCCCUGAAGAUACGUCCCUGGGAAUCAAGGAGGGGAGUUCGUGAGGCAGGGAGUCAGGAUAGGAAUCUCACCGGGGAGCAGUGUCCUGGUGGGCUGGGAACUGCCAGGCACCAGACCCAUCUGGGCUAGCUCCCAGCUGUACUCACAGGCACUUCUCGUCUUUCACCCGUGGGCUGUGUGGGGGACACAUGACCAGUCCGUGGCAAGGGAUGCUUGCUGACGUUUCCAGAAGGAACGACUUGCCCCACGCACGCUAGCUCGCUAGCUCCUACGGUGUGUUUGUGUAAAAACUAGAAAAAGGAACCCCCUCCUCUGAGACCCUUGACUGCCCAUGCUGGAGUGUUUCCAUAUGAACUACGCAAUCUCCGACUACGGCGGGGGGUGGGCUCUCUGGAGCCGUGCGUGCGCAAACCCUGGCUCACCGUGUCCCAGUUCUGUCUGGGCAUAUGAUGCAAUGAUCUGGAACUCGUUGCAGAGUGGGUUCCAUUUGGCAAUCUGCUCCUCUGAGCCCAGGCUCCUGAGGGAUUUCUGGAACACUCUGUGCAGAUUAAAGGCCAGUUCUCCAGAAACGGCUCUGUCGGGGAAAGACACGGUGGUUGAGUAGCCCACUGGAGACAGGGACCCCGGUACCGUCAGCCUGGCAGGGUGCAAAAGGGAAGGGGCAUCUGCCACCCUGCCUUCCCAACAGCUAUGGCCUUUAAAGGUGGGGGAGGGGCGCCUGGGUGGCACA